rnacentral:lncRNA from 1 species
GAUUCAAUGGAUCAAGUAUGGCUCGCGUCUGCGUACGAUACUGUUUUCAUUCUCAUUUCUCCGCUCAUGUCCGUCGAUACAACAGAUGUUUCAAAAUCUGUGGGGAUAACUUCAAGGAUGGUUUCGGUAUGCUAAAAUAAUAAAAAUAAACUUAUACAAUAUGUUCAACAUGUCUUUGUCUCCAAAUUAUAACUACUAUUGUUUAUAGUUUAUGAAUUAUAGUUGUUUGUAUGAAUUUGUAUGAUUACAAAUAUUUAGAUGAAUACUUUAUCUUUUUUUUAUCACAUUUUGUUAGAUCUGUUAUAAAAUUCGUUUUAUAUCAUGC